rnacentral:rRNA from 1 species
AUGGACCCGCAUGAUGGAGAGCCGGCUGAUGAUGAGUUGCCACCACCACCCCCUCUGCCUCCCAACGUGGUGCCCAUCGUAGCAGAAGAUGCUGCUGCUGCUGCUGCCAGUGAGAGUGAACCGCCACCGCCACCGCCACCUCCAAGCAAACCAGCAAAGCCUAGGAGGCACAUAAUGGCCAGGCCUCCCAAUGGGUUGGGAAAGAAGGGCCAGCCCAUCCAGCUGCUUGCCAACCACUACAAAGUCUCUGUCAAGCCUUCAGAGGAGUUCUUCAACCACUACUAUGUUAAUCUCAAGUAUGAGGAUGAUACGCCAGUCGACAGCAAGGGCAUCGGCAGAAAGGUCCUUGAUAAGCUGCAGCACACCUACCGUUCUGAGCUCGCGGACAAGGACUUUGCAUAUGAUGGUGAAAAGAGCCUCUUCACCAUCGGGGCUCUUCCACAGAUCAACAAUGAGUUCAUCGUGGUAUUGGAAGACAUCGGUAGUGGCAAGACUGCUGCCGGGAGUCCUGGAGGUAAUAACAACAACGGUAGUCCUGGAGGUGGUGACCAGAAGAGGGUGAGGAGACCCUACCAGGCCAAGACCUUCAAGGUGGAGCUCAACUUUGCGGCAACAAUUCCAAUGGCUGCAAUUGGGCACGCCAUCAGAGGCCAGGAAUCGGAGCACUCCCUCGAGGCACUUCGAGUGCUUGACAUCAUUCUCAGGCAGCACUCCGCAAAACAGGGCUGCCUUCUAGUUCGCCAGUCGUUCUUCCACAACAACCCUAGCAGUUUCGUCGACUUGGGCGGUGGUGUGAUGGGGUGCCGGGGAUUUCACUCAAGCUUCCGUGGUACACAGAGUGGACUCUCCCUAAACAUUGAUGUUUCAACUACCAUGAUAGUUAAACCUGGUCCUGUCAUUGACUUUCUUCUCGCUAACCAGAAAGUUGACCACCCUGACAAAAUCGACUGGCAGAAGGCCAAGCGUGCUCUCAAGAACUUGAGGAUAAAAACCACUCCUGCAAAUUCAGAGUUCAAGAUUGUUGGGUUGAGCGAGAGAAAUUGCAACGAACAGAUGUUCCCGUUGAGGCGGAGGAAUGGGGACACCACUGAAACUGUUGAGAUCACUGUCUAUGAUUACUUUGUGAAGAACAGAGGAAUAGAGCUGCGCUAUUCUGGCAAUCUUCCCUGUAUCAAUGCUGGGAGGCCAAAGCGUCCGACGUAUUUCCCCGUGGAGCUUUGCACGCUUGUUCCUCUGCAAAGAUACACGAAGGCUCUGUCAACUAUGCAGAGGACUUCGCUUGUCGAGAAGUCAAGACAGAAGCCUCACGAAAGAAUGUCAACACUUAAUGAUGCACUUAAGCGUAGCAACUAUGAUGCUGACCCCAUGCUGAAGGCAUGUGGCAUUCAAAUUGCGCAAAAUUUCACCCAGAUUGAAGGGAGGGUCCUGCCUGCUCCCAAGCUGAAAGCUGGCAACGGUGAAGAGUUCUUCGCACGCAACGGGCGCUGGAAUAUUGCGAGGAAGAAGCUGAUUAGGACCAGCUCUGUCAAGAGGUGGUCCGUCGUCAACUUCUCUGCACGCUGUGAUCUUCGUGGUCUUGUCCAUGACCUUAAAAGGGUCGCGACUGGAAUGGGACUCGAAUAUGAGGACCCUCACACUGUAAUUGAAGAGAGCCCGUCACUGAGACGAGCUCCGGUGGCACGAAGAGUGGAGGAGAUGUUUGCCCAGAUAAAGGCCAAGCUACCUGGAGCACCCUUGUUUCUUUUGUGCCUCCUCCCUGAGAGGAAGAACUGCGAAGUUUACGGUCCUUGGAAGAAGAAGUGUCUUGCUGAUUUCGGCAUAGUCACCCAAUGUCUAGCUCCGCAAAGAGUCAAUGACCAGUACUUGAGUAAUCUGCUACUCAAGAUAAAUGCUAAGCUCGGUGGACUCAACACACUGCUUCAAAUUGAAGCAGCCCGUGCAAUACCCAUUGUGGGGAAGGUGCCUACUAUCAUCCUGGGCAUGGAUGUCUCGCAUGGUCAACCUGGCCAAUCUGACAGGCCUUCCAUUGCUGCGGUGGUGAGUUCUCGUGAGUGGCCUCUCAUCUCUAAAUACAGAGCAACAGUGCACACUCAGUCACCCAAACAGGAGAUGAUGGCUUCCCUGUUUAAACCACGGGGAACUGAAGAUGAUGGCCUCAUUCGGGAAUCUCUUAUUGACUUCUACACUAGCUCUGGGAAGCGAAAGCCAGACCAAGUUAUUAUUUUCAGGGAUGGAGUUAGCGAAAGCCAGUUUACUCAGGUGAUAAACAUUGAGCUUGAGCAGAUCAUUGAGGCAUGCAAGUGCCUUGACGACAAGUGGGAGCCCAAGUUCACGGUCAUUGUUGCUCAGAAAAACCAUCAUACCAGGUUUUUCCAGACAAACUCGCCAGAAAAUGUUCCUCCUGGCACUGUGGUGGAUAAACAAGUGUGCCAUCCCAAGAACUUUGACUUCUACAUGUGCGCGCAUGCUGGGAUGAUUGGCACGUCGAGGCCAACGCAUUACCAUGUUCUGCAUGAUGAGAUCGGCUUCAGUGGGGAUGAGCUCCAGGAGUUUGUGCACUCGCUCUCCUAUGUGUACCAGAGGAGCACGACGGCGAUAUCAGUAGCUGCUCCGAUAGCGUACGCGCAUCUGGCGGCGGCGCAGGUGGGCACCUUCAUGAAGUUUGAGGACAUGUCGGACACGUCGUCGAGCCAGGGAGGGGGCCACACGUCUGCGGGCAGCGCCCCGGUGCCGGAGCUGCCUCGGCUGCACGAGAAAGUGAGGAGCUCCAUGUUCUUCUGCUGA